rnacentral:lncRNA from 1 species
GGGACCGAAUCUGUUGUUGGAAAGCAGAAGUUCUGACUCAGAACCAGAUGGGUCCCUGUGUUCCAGAGUGUGUGCUACAGCCUCGGGGUCUGCCAGGCUGGACUUCAGCAUUCCCAGACAGCUGGACCCUCCAUCCGCAGCGGCACGUGGUUCAGGAAGUCCUCCCAACACACAAGAGAACUUCAGAGAAGUCCCCUGGACGUGAGCACGAGACGGGGCAGCAUGUGGAGGGUUUGGUCUCCCAGGUGGUCCGCUCUCUGGGCUGGCAAAUUCCAGCCUGGCUUCCUCUGCUGUUGUCACGGAGUUGCGGUUGCCAUGGCGUCUGUGUGUGCGGGAGACAACUCUGCAUCCCUCCAGCUUCUGGAACACUCAUCCUGAGCCUUGAAUCAGGUGGUGGGAAGUCUGUGUGCAGAGAAAAAGAAGGAGGCGUGGCGUGUGGGAGGGAGUCGAUCUGGGCCCUGCACCUGUGUUAGUGGAGCUGCGGAAGGAGGGGCGAUGCCUCUGAACCGGGAGAGACGCACGGAGGCGGAGGCCGCACUGGCCAGGGGGGCUGCAAGGCACGCUGGGAGCUUCCGCUGCACAGGCCGGCGGGGCUGGGGAGCCAGGCCGAGGCCCCCUCUCUGGUUUCUGUGGUUCUCUGCUGCUCCUGCCUUGACAGCCACUUCCGACUACUGUCCCAAAGUCACUCUAAGUGCAGCCCCCUGAUUGAACAUGUGCCCCUAAUAAAUAGAUGAAUAAACAUUUAACGAGCUGCCUG